ensembl:lncRNA
UCGCCUUCAGAAUAUCGCCUAAACUCUGGUGGGCGUUCCGUUCCGUUCCAGUAUUCGGCCGUAACUCAAGGUGAUAUUAGCCGCGGCGUGGCUCACGUUGUUGCGGACCGAGCAGGUGACCAGUCCCGUCCGCCCCGGCUCCAGAGUGACGUCACUAGCGCUACCGGGUCCGGAGAGGAGACGCGGGUCGUUCAGCGGGAGUCCGUCUAGACUCCAGCUGUAGUGGAGUCCGUCCCCCCCGGCAGAGCAGGACACCCUCUGCUGUCCCCGGGACAGACACUCCCGGGACAGGAGGGGAGAGGAGACCGGGGCUAAGGGAAACCGACUGAGGAGACAAGGUGAUGUUAGCCGCGGCGUGGCUCACGUUGUUGCGGACCGAGCAGCUGACCAGUCCCGUCCGCCCCGGCUCCAGAGUGACGUCACUAGCGCUACUGGGUCCGGAGAGGAGACGCGGGUCGUUCAGCGGGAGUCCGUCUAGACUCCAGCUGUAGUGGAGUCCGUCCCCCCCGGCAGAGCAGGACACCCUCUGCUGUCCCCGGGACAGACACUCCCGGGACAGGAGGGGAGAGGAGACCGGGGCUAAGGGAAACCGACUGAGGAGACAAGGUGAUGUUAGCCGCGGUGUGGCUCACGUUGUUGCGGACCGAGCAGGUGAGCAGUCCCGACCGGCCCGGCUCCAGAGUGACGUCACUAGCGCUACCGGGUCCGGAGAGGAGACGCGUGUCGUUCAGCGGGAGUCCGUCUAGACUCCAGCUGUAGUGGAGUCCGUCCCCCCCAGCAGAGCAGGACACCCUCUGCUGUCCCCGGGACAGACACUCCCGGGACAGGAGGGGAGAGGAGACCGGGGCUAAGGGAAACCGACCGAGGAGGUUGUAGAUAUCAUCUUGUGAGGUCUUAGUAGCCAGCAGGACCUUCACGGUUCCUCCCAGAGAGCCAAAGCACUGGGUCGUGAUGUGUGGCUGUGUGGCAUCGCAGAAGGUCUUCACACCUGGAGGUUUACAGAGGAGAAUAAAACAAUACAGGAGAUAUAGCUCACUGAGAUUCACAGUUCUACUCUCACUUUUGCUACAACAAAUCUCUAUAAGAGCUAUGAAGUCAGAGGUUAAUGUCAAAAUGAUCCUUAAUGACCUUAAUGAAUCCUUAAUGAUGAUGAGAGGGAAACAGCAGCUAAAAACCUUUUUUCCUCUUAUCUGUAACCCUGGUUACCAAUAAUUAACUACUGCUACUGAAAUAAGAUAUAGUUCCUUACCUUGAAUGGUUAAAUUACAUUUUGUAUUUGCUACUUCCCUUCCAGCUGCAUCGUGUAGUUCCAUAGAGUAUGUACCGUUGUCUGACCAGUCGAUGUCCUUUAUAGCAAAUAUUCCAGUACUGAUAUUAAAUGAAUAUCGAAAGUUUGUUGUCUCACUGCUCUUGGACAAAACCACAACAUUGUCUUUCUUCAGUUUGUAGAUAUCAUCUUGUGAGGACUUAGGCAGCUGGACCUCCACGGUUCCUCCCAGAGAGCCAAAGCACUGGGUCGUGAUGUGUGGCUGUGUGGCGUCGCAGAAGGUCUUCACACCUGGAGGUUUACAGACGAGAGAGGCUCAUCCCGUUCAUCGCUCGUCCUCUGACGGUGGUGCUGCUGCUCCUAGCAGCAUUGGGAGUCUACUGGGCACUAAAGAAGAAGAAAACCUCCAGCCCUCGAGACAUCGCGCUGUCCUCCAUGGCAGUAGAUGAUGAUGUGCUGUACGUUAACGUCUCCGGGGCGACCGGGAGGGCAGGGGGAGAGUGAGGUGGAGUACGGGGCGGUCAGGGUGGCUCCAGGCCCCAGGCGGACGCUGGAGACCAAUGUGGACGAGUGUGUGUACGCUCAGCCCCGGAGGACGAGGCCCUGAGAGCUGUCAACACCCAGAAGGACGAGUAGACAGACCUUUAGCCAGAGGGCCAGCAGCCUGUUGACCUUUGACCUGCCAGGGACACUUCUCUCUCUGCAUCUGGAAGGCCACUUCAUUAAAGUCCUGUUUUGAAAAUGUUAAUGUUUAUUUGGCCGUUGUUAUGUUUAUAUGUAGGUUCAUGAAGCCGUUCACAUGUAGUUUAAACCGUGUAGUAUCCGUCACUCAUCAAUUCUCUGCUAUUAUUUUUAUUAUAAAUAGUAUUUAUUGUUUCCUCUGUUUUUGUCCAUGGUGGCUCCCUGUGUGGAUAGAAACUGAAACAAUCCAAUACUUGUGAUAGCUUGUUCCCUAAAAGCAUUAUUCUGCAUGCGUAAUUCUUAACAUAUCAUAACUGCUAUGUAUUUUAUACUAUUCUGCAUGUGUAACUUUAUUUAAUUAUUAAUAGUAUUUUCCACUAUUCUGCAUGUGAAACUUGCUUGGAUGCAUGUCUGUAUUCAUUUGUUUUUUUUAAGGAAUUGUAUUUUAUAUUUUUUGGUUUUACAAACAUUCUUAAG